rnacentral:rRNA from 1 species
AUUGAACGCUGGCGGCAUGCCUUACACAUGCAAGUCGAACGGCAGCACGGGAGCAAUCCUGGUGGCGAGUGGCGAACGGGUGAGUAAUAUAUCGGAACGUGCCCGGUCGUGGGGGAUAACGUAGCGAAAGCUACGCUAAUACCGCAUACGAUCUAUGGAUGAAAGCGGGGGAUCGCAAGACCUCGCGCGAUUGGAGCGGCCGAUAUCAGAUUAGGUAGUUGGUGAGGUAAAGGGCUCACCAAGCCGACGAUCUGUAGCUGGUCUGAGAGGACGACCAGCCACACUGGGACUGAGACACGGCCAGACUCCUACGGGAGGCAGCAGUGGGGAAUUUGGACAAUGGGCGCAAGCCUGAUCCAGCAAUGCCGCGUGCAGGAUGAA